rnacentral:sRNA from 1 species
UAACAUGUAAUCAUAAAAAAUAUGUGUU